GCUCCGUCAGGCGCGCGACGAGGCGGGCGAAGCGCUGGGGGUCGCGGGGGUGGUGGAUCUUCGAGUGUUUGUAGAGCAGCCCCAGCAGCGGCUCCUGCAGCUCCUCCACCCGCCGCUUGUUCUUCAGCAGCGGGCGGUCUGCGGGGCCGAGGCGGGAGAGUGCGGUUAGCGGGCGGGGCCGCGAGCCGGGCUACCGCCGCCCCUGAGGGCUCGAUGGAGGCGGGCAGCGCCUGAGGAUGAAUGUCCCCAGCAUUGGUGGUGUCUGCAGAUGAAGAUGCUACAGGUGCUACAGACUCCAAAGGAAAUAAUCAGAGCUGGUGACAUCGGCCUGGGCAGAACACCUGCUUGUGCCACCUCAUGUCCACCUGAGUGAAGGCUGUGAGCCUCUGCGCAGUCCGACCUGCGCAGAACGUCUGCCUCUAUGCAGAGAAAUAAAAUGUUUUGGAGGCAUGAAAUACGCCGGCAAAUCCAUGCCAAAAAUUUUGUGUUCUGAGAGGUACUUGCAAUUUGUGAAGGAACUCAUUAAAAAAACUGCAAGCUUUCUGUUCACCCUCUCUUCUGGAUUAUUUAUUAAUCUUCAAAAGGCGCAGUGCUUCUGGCGCUGUUAGGAUUUUCUGCCUGGCAUGGAGGACCCUCAGCCCUGGGUGUGAAACGGCACAAAGCCUCCUGACUAACGGCUUGGCAGAUGCCACUCAGUCUGUCACAGCUGUUGCCAUUUUCUACUGGUCAAUUCCUCUGUGCAUUAUUAUCCAUCAUUUACUCCACUGCCAGUUUCUGGCUCUGUUGCUACACACUAGAAGUUGUGGUGACAAGCAUUCCCAGCAUUUGAAUCAAGGAGCUUUGUCCUACUGGGAUCCGAUCUGUGUCCUGGCGCCGCAGUAGCUUAUUCUACUGUCCUUUGGAAGUUGAACAAAUGGUUCUGUGUCAGAAGAUCUGCUGGAGAGGGGUGAGCCACAUCCUUGAGUGAGAACCCAAGACUAAGCGCUGUGUGGUGUAAUGUCGUGGGCUCCCGUCGUCGUCUUAUUCUAUGAUUUGAUUUCAAGCAGCCAGAAUCCCGCAGAGGGACUGCACCCGUCCUGAAAUGAGAGUCUGAUUUAGCAGUGCUGGCCCUCGUCUCACUUGUCUCUGCUGGGCACGAAAGGCUAGGAUGUUACCUCUGAAGGCAGGGGAAAGUGAGGGUUAAAUCAUAACUAUAAACACAAAGGACAAAACAAGCCAGAGAUUCAAAUGUACAAUCCAGGUGCAGCUUCUGCUGAGAUGUGAUGAUCCUUCAUGCUGCACAAGCAGGUCAUUCCUUUAGCCGACUUCCCAGUAGAUGUGAAUUGGAAUUUCCAGUGCUGCAUUUCUAAAUGGCUCAUGGAGUGCCUCCCCGCUGAAAGCUGAGUGGAACCUUGAGAGAUUGCAUGUUUGAUUUCACAGAACUUCCUUAUAUUGAAUAAGGUGAAAAACGGGAAGAUACUGGACUGGUACACGUAUAUCAUUCCACGUAGCUGGAUCAGGCCUACUCCGGUGUGGCUGCUCAAAGGCUCUGCAAAAAUUGAGUUUAAAGGCAGCUAUGGAGCUGGGAGCGUGAUAAGAGCGAAGCAGCAGUAGGUGCUGAGCUGCAGAGGUGGGGUCACUUGAGGGUGUAAUAGUGGGGACGGGGGAAACAAGCGUUGCUACGACUUUGGGAUGUCACGUUGGCCUUAGCACAGGGCAGUCUUCAGCCAACUUGAUCCAUAACCACAAUGGUAAACACAGUAAUAUUUGUCAGUUUUCCAAGUGUUAAUGAAUCACCCAUUAUGAAAAAGGAAUUCUGACAAAAAGUUGUCUUAGUUUUUCAGUAUUCUCUAAUAAGAAGAAAAAUAAGGACCAGAAGGUGAAACAUGCUGUAAAGCACGGUCUAGUCCUUUGGUUCCACACAGGCUACGAGAAAGCAGCAUUACAUUUCCCAAAUUUGCAAAAUGUAUCUCAUACUUUACUAAUUGAUCUGAUUCUGAUGAACUACUCCAAGUGCAGCUGUUUAUUUUCCUUUGGACUGUAUGAAUGUUUUGAAGUUGUUGCUUAUAUAAAAUAAUCUUAUUCAGCACUUCUGCCCUGGGCUUGA